rnacentral:rRNA from 1 species
UUAGGAAUUUUGGGCAAUGGGCGAAAGCCUGACCCAGCAACGCCGCGUGGGGGAUGAAGGCCUUCGGGUCGUAAACCCCUUUUCCGAGGGACGAUAGUGACGGUACCUCGGGAAUAAGCCCCGGCUAACUACGUGCCAGCAGCCGCGGUAAUACGUAGGGGGCGAGCGUUGUCCGGAUUCAUUGGGCGUAAAGCGCACGCAGGCGGCUUGGUAAGUCAUCGGUGAAAUCCUCCGGCUCAACUGGAGGGGGCCCGGCGAAACUGCCAGGCUUGAGGUCGGAAGGGGGAAGCGGAAUUCCCGGUGUAGUGGUGGAAUGCGUAGAUAUCGGGAGGAACACCAGUGGCGAAGGCGGCUUCCUGGUCCGAUCCUGACGCUGAGGUGCGAAAGCGUGGGGAGCGAUCCG